CAUGUGGAGCGCUUAGAAGUGAGAAUGCCGGUGUGAGUAGCGAAAGACGGGUGAGAAUCCCGUCCACCGAUUGACUAAGGUUUCCAGAGGAAGGCUCGUCCGCUCUGGGUUAGUCGGGUCCUAAGCUGAGGCCGACAGGCGUAGGCGAUGGAUAACAGGUUGAUAUUCCUGUACCACCAUUAUUCGUUUUAAGCGAUGGGGGGACGCAGUAGGAUAGGCGAAGCGUGCUGUUGGAGUGCACGUCCAAGCAGUGAGAUUGAGUGUUAGGCAAAUCCGGCACUCUUAAGAUUGAGCUGUGAUGGGGAGAGGAACUUGUUCCUCGAGUCGUUGAUUUCACACUGCCGAGAAAAGCCUCUAGCUAGAAUAACGGUGCCCGUACCGCAAACCGACACAGGUAGUCAAGAUGAGAAUUCUAAGGUGAGCGAGCGAACUCUCGUUAAGGAACUCGGCAAAAUGACCCCGUAACUUCGGGAGAAGGGGUGCUCUUUGAGGUUCACGCUUCGAAGAGCCGCAGUGAAUAGGCCCAAGCGACUGUUUAUCAAAAACACAGGUCUCUGCUAAACCGUAAGGUGACGUAUAGGGGCUGACGCCUGCCCGGUGCUGGAAGGUUAAGAGGAGUGGUUAGCGCAAGCGAAGCUACGAAUCGAAGCCCCAGUAAACGGCGGCCGUAACUAUAACGGUCCUAAGGUAGCGAAAUUCCUUGUCGGGUAAGUUCCGACCCGCACGAAAGGCGUAACGAUUUGGGCACUGUCUCAACGAGAGACUCGGUGAAAUCAUAGUACCGGUGAAGAUGCCGGUUACCCGCGACAGGACGGAAAGACCCCGUGGAGCUUUACUGUAGCCUGAUAUUGAAAUUCGGUACAGUUUGUACAGGAUAGGUAGGAGCCUUAGAAGCGUGAGCGCUAGCUUACGUGGAGGCAUUGGUGGGAUACUACCCUAAUUGUAUUGGAUUUCUAACCCGCAGCACUUAUCGUGCUGGGAGACAGUGUCAGGCGGGCAGUUUGACUGGGGCGGUCGCCUCCUAAAGAGUAACGGAGGCGCUCAAAGGUUCCCUCAGAAUGGUUGGAAAUCAUUCAUAGAGUGUAAAGGCAUAAGGGAGCUUGACUGCGAGACCUACAAGUCGAGCAGGGUCGAAAGACGGACUUAGUGAUCCGGUGGUUCCGCAUGGAAGGGCCAUCGCUCAACGGAUAAAAGCUACCCCGGGGAUAACAGGCUUAUCUCCCCCAAGAGUUCACAUCGACGGGGAGGUUUGGCACCUCGAUGUCGGCUCAUCGCAUCCUGGGGCUGUAGUCGGUCCCAAGGGUUGGGCUGUUCGCCCAUUAAAGCGGUACGCGAGCUGGGUUCAGAACGUCGUGAGACAGUUCGGUCCCUAUCCGUCGUGGGCGUAGGAAAUUUGAGAGGAGCUGUCCUUAGUACGAGAGGACCGGGAUGGACAUACCUCUGGUGUACCAGUUGUCGUGCCAACGGCAUAGCUGGGUAGCUAUGUAUGGACGGGAUAAGUGCUGAAAGCAUCUAAGCAUGAAGCCCCCCUCGAGAUGAGAUUUCCCAACUUCGGUUAUAAGAUCCCUCAAAGAUGAUGAGGUGAAUAGGUUCGAGGUGGAAGCGUAGCGAUACGUGGAGCUGACGAAUACUAAUCGAUCGAAGAC
rnacentral:rRNA from 1 species